GGAUGAUGGUGAAGAAGCUGACCGAUAUGAAGAGGAUGUAGAUGGCAAACAGCAGGCGGUCCACGAUGAAGCCCACCUGGACCCACUCCUCCGAGCUCUGGCCGCCCGCCACUUCCUGCUCCAACCGCAGGCGGAUGACACGGAGGUCCUCCCCCAAUCUCCUCAACUCCUGCUGGACCACGCCCUCCUUUCUCAGGGCCCCGCCCACACCUGCUCUUACACUGACCGCCUCCAUGUCUUCUGCAGAAGCGUGAACGGGUUUGGGACCACCGCUUGUGUCGACUUUGGAGGAAGCAGCACCAGGCGCCCCAACACCUUGAUGACCGUCAGUCGGAGCCAGCCAGGAAGCUGCGAGUGGCGAGAGGAACCCUGCAGCAGAAUGUUGACCAGGAUGAAGUCGAUUUGGACGUGAGUGGGAGUUGAACUGUUCACCACGGGUCGGAUGGAGCUGAGGUUGAAAACUGGCCUGAGAGCCUCCAGCAGGGCGAGGGAAUCGGGGCGAGAGCAGUUCGGCAUGAUGGGGUUGCAUGACCCUUCAAACACCAGGAGGCAGGAAUUAGUGAUUCGUCCUCGGUGAGGGGCGGACCUCGAGGCACACCUGCUCGCAAUUAGCACACCGGUAUUUAGGCUCGUCACUGUCACCUUGGCCUCGCCGGUUAUUGUCUCCAGUACUCCUGUCGUGCAUGCACCUGUUUCACCAGACCUGGUAGACCCAAGUCAUCUAUUGGCUGGCCCAGAUGAUGAUGAUGGUGAGGAAGCUGACAGAUAUGAAGAGGAUGUAGAAGCCAAACAGCAGGCGGUCUAUGAUGAAACCCACCUGGAUCCACUCCUCUGAGCUCUGGCUGACCCCCAGCUGCUGCUCCACCUGCAGGCGGAUGACUUUCAGGGCAGACCAACAAGACGUCCCAGAGUCCGGAGAACAAGCACGCGGACCCAGCGGGGAACGGGGCGCAGGUUUUUGGAGCCGAGCAGCAAGUUGGUGAUGAGGAUUGUCUCCAGGAGGCUGGCCACCAUCAGAGCCAAGCACAGGGAGAAGAAGACGUCUGGCGGGAACGAGAGGAGAUAAGUCCAAAUAUUCUAGGAUGAGUCGGAGACGUACUUAUGAGAGGUAUGGUGUUCCCCGUGAUGGGCAACAGGUCGUUCAUGAUGAGCAGAAAGACGGUGUAGCCCAGGAUGAGGGUCAUCUUGAAGGAGGAGCGGUCCACACUCUGAGGAGGCAACAGGAAGCUGAAGAGGUCGACGGUGAUGAGGAAGCAGCUGGGGAUCAACAGGUUGACCACGUAGAGCGUGGACCUGCGUCGCAAUCGGAUCUACGGGGACAACGGGGAACGAUGAGCCCAAAUUCUGCAAGUACAGACGCUCCAGAUGAAACAUACGUGAAAUGCAAGCUCGUCGAGGAGGUAACCUUCAAUGUCAUGUUGGUGAUUGAUCUUUUCACUGGUGAUGUUCAGCAGCUCCCACUCCCCCAAAGUGGUCAUCACAUGCUUGGAGACCUUAGUGAUCUUUUCAUCAGUCGACGAAGGAAACACCUUCAAUGCUGCUCCUGGUAACCAGAGAGACAGAGUUUGAAAGCAAGGGACAACCCUUGUCAAAGCGCUAUUAACUUCUCGUUAGGCUUUUGGAGCAUGAUUCUCAAACUGUGGUACCGCUAUUGGUACGUCAAAGAAUGACUUGAUUAAUGUUGUAUUACCGUAUUUCCUUGAAUUGCCGCAGGGCAUAUAGUAUGCGCCUGCCUUGAAUUACUGCCGGGUCAAACUCGCUUCCCAAAAUAAUUAGCGCAUGCUUAGUAUUACCGCCUGGUCAAACUCGUGACACUUCCCCAGUCAUCAUUUUCAAAAUGGAGGAGGCUGAUUUCAAUACCGGUAAUUUGAAAUCGCAUAAAGGGAAGAAAAUAAAGAGCUAUUCAGUAGGAUUUAAGGUCCAAGCUUACAUCACACUCAAAUUUUUACUGCAUACCUUUGGUAAGUGCCGGAGUGAGAAGAGGUUUUAAAAUGAUUAGCGCAUGCUUACUUUUACCGCAUGCCUUUGGUAAGCGCAGGAGUGAGAAGAGGUUUUAAAUUAAUUAGCGCCCCGGCGGCAAUUCAAGGAAAUACGGUAUAUAGCGUCUUAAUCCAGUGUAAUAAAGAGUUGCCAAAAUUGGAAAAAAAAACAAAACACUAAACUUUUACACAUAAAAUAGAAGCUAAUUUUGUCAAAUGCCUUCUCCAGGUCUGCUACAAAAAAUGAAUCCUCUUUUAUUUAACAUAUUAUAAUUUUCUAUAAUUUCUAGUAACUGCCUAAUAUUGUUUCCUGAAUUUCUUCCUUGUAGGAAACCUGAUUGAUCUUGGUGAAUGAUAUUUGACGAAACAGACUUAAGUUCUGUAGCCAAACAUUUUGCCAAGAUCUUAGCACCGUAACACUGAAGUGUUAUUGCAUCUUGCCAACCUUGAGACCUCGGAAUUCAGGGCCGGGGGGCGGGGUUAAGGGGGGAGGAGUAUAUUUAUAGCGAGAAUUCACUGAAAUUCAAGUUUAUUUACCGGUAUUUUUUUUUGUUUUUCGGACAAUAAUGUGCAAUAAUGUCAUAUGUAUGUAUGUAUAUAUGCAUAUAUAUGGAUAUAUACAUGCGUGUGGAUAUAUAUACAUAUAUAUGUAUCAUCUUUUCUAUCUUUUUUUACUAUUUAUAUUACCAAAUUAUUGUUGUAGCACCUUAGGGCAGUGGUUCUCAAAUGGGGGUACGCGUACCCCUAGGGGUACUUGAAGGUAUGCUAGGGGGUACGUGGGAUUUUUUAAAAAUAUUCUAAAAAUAGCAACAAUUCAAAAAUCCUUUAUAAAUAUAUUUAUUGAAUAAUACUUCAACAAAAUAUGAUUAUAAGUUCAUAAACUGUGAAAAGAAAUGCAACAAUGCAAUAUUCAGUGUUUACAGCUCGAUUUUUGUGGACAUGUUCCAUAAAUAUUGAUGUUAAAGAUUUCUUUUUUUAUGAAGAAAUGUUUAGAAUUAAGUUCAUGAAUCCAGAUGGAUCUCUAUUACAAUCUCCAAAGAGGGCACUUUAAGUUGAUGAUUUCUUCUAUGUAUUGAAAUCUUUAUUUAUAAUUGAAUCACUUGUUUAUUUUCCAAUAAGUUUUUAGUUAUUUUUAUAUCUUUUUUUCCAAAUAGUUCACGAAAGGCCACUACAAAUGAGCAAUAUUUUGCACUGUUAUACAAUUUAAUAAAUCAGAAACUGAUGACAUAGUGCUGUAUUUUACUUCUUUAUCUCUUUUUUUCAACCAAAAAUGCUUUGCUCUGAUUAGGGGGUACUUGAAUUAAAAAAAAAUUCACAGGGGGUACAUCACUGAAAAAAGGUUGAGAA